UGUUUCCAGGUGAGUGUCCCCGCCCUUCUAGACCCGCCCCUCCCACUCCUCCCGCUGUCAGGCUGCCCUGGACCCGCUCUGCACAGCCUCCUCACAUGCUCGCUGCCAGCCUGGACCAGAACUGGAUCUAGGAGGACGCUGCACCCCGGUACCUGACCCCCACAAUAAUCAAGAGGGUUAAGGUCCACAGAGCUUACGGUGGUAUCCGAAUCAGGUCUCUGGGAUAUGCUGAUUCUCAGUCCUUGUCCUCAAGGGGGAUUUCCUCUCAUGAAAUGGGUCUACUAGCUGUGCCAGUCAUCUGUUGGUCACUCUUGCAAUUUCUAUACCAUCUUUACUCCAACAUAUCUUGUAGGCCAAACAAAUUGUAGCAGCCAAACAUUGGGCAGAGCAUGGGAAAUACUGAAGAAGAAAGAAAGGAAGGAUUUCAGGGUCCAGUAGUGUCAAGAAAACCCACAGAAUCAACUAACCUGGGCUCAGAAGGGCUCACAGAGACUGAAACGACAACCAGGGAACCUACAUAGGACUAACAUAGACUUUCUGCCUAUUUGGUACAAUUUGUAACUUGGUCUUCGUGUAGGACUCCUAGCAGUGAGAGCAGGGGGAUGUCUCUGACUCUGUUGCCUGCUUUUGGGACUCAUUCCUCCUGCUGGAUUCCCUGAUCCAAGCUUGGUGGAGAGAGGGUGCCUGCUCUCACUGCAGCUUGAUAUACCAAGGCUCACUGAUAUCUAUCUAUGGGAUUCCUGUCUGUAUCUAAAAAAUAACAGUGAAGGAGGAUUUGAUGUGGUGGAGGGGGAGAACAAUGUUGUAGGGGACCUAGGAAGAGGGAAGGGAAGAUAAGCUUUGGGUAGAAUGUAAAAUCAAGAAAAUAAAUAAAUAAAAAUAUAAUAAUAAAUAUGAUAAAAUGAAAAGAAACAAAUACACAAAGAAGACCAAGGGAAGCAAAAUAAGAAAAAUAAUCUAUGAAAAUAUCUUUCUGUCUAUUUUGUGUUGUUGAACCACUCUUGUGCAUGGGACUUGUCCUGACGUGUUUCUAAUAAUAUACUCAGUGAGACUCCACUGGAGGAAACUUCUUUUCCUUUUCAAAGCAGGUAUCUAUUUCACAUAGCUUCUUCUUUAGGGGUGAAAAUUGGUGUUCACUUGCCCCUCUCAAUUAUGAGACACCUGUAUACAGCAUUUGAACCUCAACAAGCCUUGGGCAUGCUCACACAGUCUGGGUGAGCUUAUAUAUGUCUCAGUGCCAUUGUGUCAGGAAAACACUGCUUCCUUGGAGUUAUCCACAUCCUUUGACUCAUAAUUCUGUCAGUCUCCUCUUCUGCAUCGAUCUCUGAGCCUUGAGUUGAAGGAAUUGAUGAGACAACUCACUGAAGACAAUGUGGUCAAAAGUUCCACACUCUUUGCACACUGUUCCAUUGUUGAUUUCUGUGUUAGUUCCCAUUGACUACAAGAAGCAUUUUCUCUGAUGAGAGCUGAGUGAUGCACUGAUCAAUGAGUAUAGCAGAAUAUCAUUAGGAUUCAAUUUAUUUCUGUGUUCUUUAAACAGAAAAUUAGUACUAGAUUUCCCCCUAUGUCUUUCACAUAUAUACUCUGAGGUUCUGGGAAUCUUUAUGCAUGUCAGGUCGAGUUCCAUUUCAUGGAGUGGACUUUAAAUCCAGCCAGACAUUGGUUGGUUAAACCCCUAGUAUUUAUGCCAUUAUUGUAUUUAUGUACCAUGCAGGCAGGUCAUCACUGUAGAUCACAAAGUCUGUAGCUGGAUUGGUGGUUUCAAUGUUCCUCUGGUAGAAUGCAGAAUACUUUCCAGUACCAUGAAUGCAAGUCUGUGAGGGUGAAGGCUUUAGAGAGCACUAUCUUGACUUCUCCAUGUUCAGUAAAAUAAUAAGUGGUGUCUUCUGCAAUAAAGCCUUAACAGAAACUUGUGUAGAGUAACCCAUAGCCUUGGGAAUAGCCAAUGAUGUUUGGUAGUUUCCAUGGAUCCCCUUUGGCCAAUGACUCAACAAGAUAUGUAACCUGUUCCUGGCAUUAGAUAAAUAUUUGGUGCAGAAAAUGUCUAGCUGGGGCACUGUUCCCCCCUUUAUUUGGUGAUUCCAUUCAGACUUCCUUUACACAUGUAAAUACUUUAGGAACCUUCCAAGUAGCAGGUUUCCAGAUAGUUUUCAACUGGCCUCGAGUAUGAGUUGCCCUUCUAAACACACCCACAAUUAUCACUCUCUGCCAUUACCUCCCUAUUUAAUCUUCUAAUUCUAGUUUGUCCUGUAUCCCUGCAUAACAGUAUGUUUCAUUUUCCCUUCCAUGCUAGAUCCUCUCUACCCUGGUCCCUUACUACAUACUUAACUUCUGUGGUUAUUCAGAUGGUAGAAUGCAUAUCAAAGUUUUAAAAGCUAAGAGUCACAUGUAAAAGAAAACAUACAUUUGUCUUUUUUGGGAGGAGGGUGGUGCUUUGGUAUAUUCCUCAAGAUGAUUUUCACUAGUUCCAAUAUUUGCUUGUGGAUAUCAAGAAUUACUUAAAUAAAGUUUAUUUAUUAUUUUAUAUCCUGACCACAGUUUCCCCUCCCUCCUCUCAUCCAAGCCUUUCCCCCCACCUCACCUCUUCCCCACCCCCAUCCAUUCCUCCUACUUUUCUAUUCAGAAAGGGUCAGGCCUCCAAUGGUUAUCAAAAAAUUAUGCCAUAUCAAGUAUCAGGAAGACUAAGCACCUCCCCUUGUAUUAAGGCAG